GGACUGGGUAUAAAGUGUCAUGGCGGAUGAGUAGUGAGAAAUACUUUUAUAAGGCAGAGUUAAACACAAGAAAUGUAUCACCUUGUCAAAAGAGCAGUGACACCUCACCCAACUCUGUCCAUUCUAAGAAGAAACUACUGGUCUCAGCGCAAAGGACCAAACUACUCCACAAACAUGAUUGUGGUUGGAAUAUCAACUAUCAUUUGUGGUUUAGUUGGCAUUGGUUACCAAAAAUGGAAAUUAGACAAGGAAUAUGAAAUUUAAGGAAGAAAACUAAAGUAGUGCCAGGCCAUCCUAACAGCUAACAGCUGCAGCCAAGGUGGAACUAUAGACAACUUUUUUUUUUUUGCAAGAUACCUUAAUAUACCACAGGACUGAAAAGAUUUUGGUUUUGUUGCCAGAAGAAUUUCAAGACUCAACAGAUUUUUGCUGUAGUUAACUUUUUGAAAUCAGCCUUCUAUGACAGCAUUAAAACAAAUCCCUGAAGAGGAAUCUUUCAGUUUCCUAUGGCAGCGGCAUAUUUUCCUGGUGAAAAAUAAGGAUAUUGUUUGGUGCAGGUAACAGGAAUGCAGACAUUCAUGGAGACAAGUUGCUCAGUGUCGAAAUGAUAAAAUUAAAAUUAAUUUUGGAAACUUGUGGAUGUCCUUUGUUUGUUUGCCCUGUUAAUGUGUUGAAAAAGACGUAAAGUGCCUUAAAUUUUAUCCUUCUCCUAACACCUAAGCUCUAGGAAAAGAAAUAAAGGUAGUGACAUGUCUUCUUAUUAAAAAUCCCAUUGAGAUGGCAACAAGACUCCCAGAGGAAAUGCUAGAAGACAAUCAUUCUUCCUAUGAAUCACAUUUUCAUAAUGUAUGUUAUAUUUCAUGCAAAAUUUGUCUUAUAUAUCCCAUGGAAAAAAUGUCGUAAACAACUUCUUGCGUGACAUUUCUUAAUUUGAUGCUUAUGUAACGAAGUUAAUUAAUUUUGUAAGAGUCACGGCAAGUUC